rnacentral:rRNA from 1 species
GUACGACUCUCGGCAAUGGAUAUCUUAGCCCCGGCAAUGAUAAAGAAUGUAGAGAAGUGCGAUACUUGGUGUGAAUUGCAGAAUCCUGUGAAUCAUUAAAUCUUUGAACGCAAGUUGCGCCCGAGGCCUCAGCCCAGGGCACAGCUGCCUGGGUGUCGCAU